GCUAACUUAGUUUUUAAGGAGUUAAUUCUGAUCCCUUGGGAAUGAAAUUUGUUUUACUUUUAUGCUGUGCACAUAGAGAUGUACAGUGGAGAGGAGUUUCCUGUAGAAGAAGUGGAAAUCCCACCAGUUCUUGCAGGGCCUGUACCAUCAAUGCCACGGAGGGAGGAAGUGCAAGAGGAAGAAUGCGAAGGAGAGAAGGUUGAAUCACAGCAAGGAGAGGAUCCAAGGAGAGACAUACCUGUGAGGCCACCUUCAGAGGCAAAACUCUCUCCCGGCAUGUGCUUGAGAAGGAUGAGGAUGAGGUUGGACUGUGGCCACUGUUGAGGAGAAAACAUUGCCAGGACCAUUAUAUAACAUAUAAGCUGGGGGGCAAGACUCCACAGGGAGGAGGACAGAACUCACAGAGAGUUAGUCCUUCAAAGGAUGGAUGGGUUCAUGAGGUUAUGGAGAACAUUUCUUCAGAACUUCAGGAGGACAGGCAGGAAGCCAGAGAUGGACAGGCUCCAUUUGUAAAUCUUGUGGAGAGAUCUUGUGCAACAUGGGCCUGCUCUUUCAUCUACAGAAACAACUUCAUGACCUUCUCCUCCAAACUAUCUAAUUCUGUCAGCAGAACUGCUGCUGUGAGGACAGGACAAAGGGAGCAGGUGGAAAGACGCCUUUUUCCCUUGAAGGUUUCAAUAGACAUUUCUCCAUUUCAUUAAGAGAAGAGUUGUUUAGGUUUCCAACAAUACCAAAUGUGUUCAGAGUGGAUAACUCUGCUACUUUCACAGCCUUCUUUGGAGGUUUUAAAUAGAUGCUGGAUGGCCAUCUGCUGGGGGCUGCUUUGAUUGUGCUUUUCCGGCAUGGCAAGGGGUUGGACUGGAUGGCCCAUGCAUUUUUUUCCAACUCUAUGAUUCUAUAAUCUACAUUUUUUUUCAUCCUGUUAAGAUUUCUGAAAUUAUGUAUCUAUUCUUGUUUCUGUGUGAUAAACUGUUAGUAAUUAAUAUGUUGAGAUAGAGGAACAUUGGACAUAUUGGGAGGGGCCAUCCAUCUCCCAUGUGAUGAGUCAAAGAGGUAAAGAACAUUAUUUUAUUAAGUACAGAAAGAAAGGAGGGUUCUGAGGGUGUGAUGGGAUUUGUAUGUAUUCUGUCACCCUGGAAUCGGAGCUGUUUCCACCGAAAUCAGAUGACAUUUAAAUUGACGAUACCAGUUCUAGACUACAUCAUAUGAUGGGGAAUCAUCACCAUAAACCUCUUUCAUCUCAUCGAAUGUCUCCUUUGGUGUGUGGCCUUUCAAGUCAAGGAAUUUGGUGAUCGCUCUGUAUUCCGCUGUGUCCAUUAUCAAAUGUCAUACCACAGCACCUGUAAAACCAAAACCGUGAUGAGUUGUAAAUUGGCAUGGAACCUAUAGAGCAGUGGUUCUCAACCUGUGGGUCCCCAGAUGUUUUAGCCUUCAACUUCCAGAAAUCAGCUGGUAAACUGGCUGGGAUUUCUGGGAGUUGUAGGCCAAAAUACCUGGGGACCCACAGGUUGAGAACCACUGCUAUAGAGACUUAUAUCAUUACACAUGUGCAGCUUCAGCGUCCUGUGAUAAAUAGAAGUGGGUCGGGGAAAUGUUUAAUGAAAAUUUCCCCUCGUAGCUAUGGUUCACAGAAAUUAUACAGCUGGAUAUUUGGAAAGAUCUUUGUGGCAAUUCCUAACAAGUGGCUACUUGCAGGUAUCCAGGUUUUCCUGAUGCCCUCUCACAACAGGCCCUGCUAGGGAGGGCUGAUGUCUCCUAUCAUCAUCCUGACACCCCAACCACUUAAAGAUGCAGUUUUUAAACCCAAACAGGCAACAGUCAGGCAUUUCUUGGUGUCAAGAGAAAUUAUUUAUUUUGGAGAAGUAUAAUGCAAGAAAAA